rnacentral:rRNA from 1 species
GACGAACGCUGGCGGCGUGCCUAACACAUGCAAGUCGAGCGAGUGAAUCUCCUUCGGGAGUGAAGCUAGCGGCGGACGGGUGAGUAACACGUGGGCAACCUGCCUCAUAGAGGGGAAUAGCCUUCCGAAAGGGAGAUUAAUACCGCAUAAGAUUGUAGCUUCGCAUGAAGUAGCAAUUAAAGGAGCAAUCCGCUAUGAGAUGGGCCCGCGGCGCAUUAGCUAGUUGGUGAGGUAAUGGCUCACCAAGGCGACGAUGCGUAGCCGACCUGAGAGGGUGAUCGGCCACAUUGGGACUGAGACACGGCCCAGACUCCUACGGGAGGCAGCAGUGGGGAAUAUUGCACAAUGGGGAAACCCUGAUGCAGCAACGCCGCGUGAGUGAUGACGGCCUUCGGGUUGUAAAGCUCUGUCUUCUAGGACGAUAAUGACGGUACCGUGAGGAGGAAGCCGACGGCUAACUACGUGCCAGCAGCCGACC